rnacentral:rRNA from 1 species
UACGUAGGGUGCGAGCGUUGUCCGGAAUCACUGGGCGUAAAGGGCGCGUAGGCGGUCGUGCAAGUCGCGUGUGAAAGCCCCCGGCUCAACUGGGGAGGGUCACGCGAUACUGCUCGACUCGAAGGCAGGAGAGGGAAGUGGAAUUCCCGGUGUAGUGGUGAAAUGCGUAGAUAUCGGGAGGAACACCAGUGGCGAAGGCGACUUCCUGGCCUGUUCUUGACGCUGAGGCGCGAAAGCUAGGGUAGCAAACGGG